rnacentral:tRNA from 1 species
GGGGAUUUAGCCUAGCGGCAUAAGCACCUGCCUUGCAAGCAGGUGGUCGUGAGUUCGAUCCCUG